rnacentral:tRNA from 1 species
GGACAUGUAGCUCAGUUGGUUUAGAGCAUACGGCUGUUAACCGUAGUGUCGUGAGUUCGAAUCUCACCUUGUCCG